UUUCUUUUGAGUGUUUUGAGAAAACUGAGAAAACGAAAAUCGUCAACGUAGGCCAGGAUACGGUUAAAUAAAUAUAAACAAAUUUUGGUAUCCUCGCAUCGUUUUCCGGAGCAGUUGGAUAUCAUUGUCAUCAAUACCCCCAGGAUUGAAAAAUUGAUUCGGUUCUGUGACUCCGAAUCUAAAGAAUGUGGUGUGCGGCAUCGAAGAAUUUAUUCCGUGCAUUUUUGGUCGUCUUGUUUCAAACACCUAUUAAAUCUAUCUAAAGGAUGAUGAUCGAGUUGCACUUUUUGUUGCCAACGAACGGAAAACAGCGACCAGCUGCCUGCUGCAUUUGCUCCACUACCCGUUUUUUCUAAGAGAUCAGAG